rnacentral:lncRNA from 1 species
UAGCAAUAGGAAAAUUAGAGGGAAGAAAAGUGACCAGACAAAAAUAAUGACUUCAAAGCAAAAAUAGCUGGAAAAUGAUCACAUCUCCAUUCUUUAAAUUAGUUUUACAUCUUGCCUCAACCUAUAAUCAUUUAUUGUUAACUUCACCGAUUUUUGUCCUAAAGAUGUACUAGGGACCUAGGAAAUAAGAAGUCAAACUAAAUAUUAGAUUAGAGACAGUGGUUGGAAUUCAUGCAGUCAAAUCAGAGAUAAGGACCAAGCUUGUUGAAAGAAUUGACACACCAGAACAGCUGGAGUUAAUUUACUUACCCAUAGAAGAAAACACGUCCACAGGAAGGUGAUCAAAACCUGAUGAUGGCAAAACUAAUUAGAAAAUGUGUGUUCACCUGCCCUGUUGCAUUUUUAGAGGAAGAGAUCAAAAAUUCA